GGCCAGACUCCUACGGGAGGCAGCAGUGGGGAAUAUUGCACAAUGGGCGCAAGCCUGAUGCAGCCAUGCCGCGUGUAUGAAGAAGGCCUUCGGGUUGUAAAGUACUUUCAGUCGGGAGGAAGGUGGUAAGGUUAAUAACCUUAUCAAUUGACGUUACCGACAGAAGAAGCACCGGCUAACUCCGUGCCAGCAGCCGCGGUAAUACGGAGGGUGCAAGCGUUAAUCGGAAUUACUGGGCGUAAAGCGCACGCCAGGCGUCCGUCAAGGCGGAUGGGAAAUCCCCGGGCUCAACCUGGGAACUGCAUUCGAAACUGGCAGGCUGGAGUCUUGUAGAGGGGGGUAGAAUUCCAGGUGUAGCGGUGAAAUGCGUAGAGAUCUGGAGGAAUACCGGUGGCGAAGGCGGCCCCCUGGACAAAGACUGACGCUCAGGUGCGAAAGCGUGGGGAGCAAACAGGAUUAGAUACCCGAGUAU
rnacentral:rRNA from 1 species